ACUCAUAAUUUGCAGUGGGAAUACCAUGUCUCAAAAGUAGUUUUCUCAGAGAGAGGCUCAUCCAUUGUACUUUGGGCAUACUGCUGAUCCUUGAGAUUUCCCUAAAUGUGGGGAAUUCAAUUGUAUAAUUUGUGUUAAUAGAAGAUUGUGCUUGUGAUUUUCCU
rnacentral:snRNA from 1 species